rnacentral:hammerhead_ribozyme from 1 species
UCCAUUAGCUACACUGUGCUGAUGAGCCCCAAAAGGGCGAAACAGCUGUCCACAGUUGCUAAAUAAAUUAU